CAGUAGCCACGGUAAUACGAAGGGGGCUAGCGUUGCUCGGAAUUACUGGGCGUAAAGGGAGCGUAGGCGGACAUUUAAGUCAGGGGUGAAAUCCCAGAGCUCAACUCUGGAACUGCUUUUGAUACUGGGUGUCUUGAGCGUGAUAGAGGUAUGUGGAACUCCGAGUGUAGAGGUGAAAUUCGUAGAUAUUCGGAAGAACACCAAUGGCGAAGGCGACAUACUGGAUCAUUACUGACGCUGAGGCUCGAAAGCGUGGGGAGCAAACAGGAUCAGAUACCCGUGUAGUCCCUGUCUCUUAUAC
rnacentral:rRNA from 1 species